CCUACGGGAGGCAGCAGUGGGGAAUAUUGCGCAAUGGGCGAAAGCCUGACGCAGCGACGCCGCGUGCGGGAUGAAGGUCCUCGGAUCGUUAAACUCUGUUAGCAGGGAAGUACGGUCCCUGUGCUAAUCCGCAGUGAAUUGAUGGUACCUGUAAGGGAAGCAUCGGCUAAUUCCGUGCCAGCAGCUGCGGUGAUACGGAGGGUGCGUGUCUUGAUCUGAAUUACUGGGCGGAAAGCGCUCGUAGGCGGUAUGUCAAGUCAAGGGUGAAAUCCCCGCGCCCAACGCGGGGACUGCCGUUGAAACUGGCAAACUGGAGUUUGAGAGAGGAUAGUGGAAUGCGAGGUGUAGGGGUGAAAUGCGUAGAUAUCGGGAGGAACAUCAGUGGCGAAGGCGACGAACCGGCGCAAGACUGACGCUGAGGAGCGAAAGCGUGGGUAGCAAACAGGAUUAGAUACCCGGGUAGUC
rnacentral:rRNA from 1 species